CACGUCAGUGCGACCUGCUGACGUGGAAGGAAAUCGCGUCCUUGGGGAAUCGAUUUCCUUCCACGUUAGAAGGUCGCGCUGACGUGG
rfam:Gossypium raimondii Chr08_contig_97, whole genome shotgun sequence.